rnacentral:rRNA from 1 species
GUAGGUGGCAAGCGUUGUCCGGAAUUAUUGGGCGUAAAGCGCGCGCAGGCGGGGGUUUUUAAGUCUGAUGUGAAAGCCCACGGGCUCAACCGUGGAGGGUCAUUGGAAACUGGAGAACUUGAGUACAGAAGAGGAAAGCGGAAUUCCACGUGUAGCGGUGAAAUGCGUAGAGAUGUGGAGGAACACCAGUGGCGAAGGCGGCUUUCUGGUCUGUAACUGACGCUGAGGCGCGAAAGCGUGGGGAGCAAACAGGAUUAGAUACCCUGGUAGUCCACGCCGUAAACGAUGAGUGCUAAGUGUUAGGGGGUUUCCGCCCCUUAGUGCUGCAGCUAACGCAUUAAGCACUCCGCCUGGGGAGUACGGCCGCAAGGCUG